UAUACGACCGUACCGCAAACCGACACUGGUGCGCGAGAUGAGUAUUCUAAGGCGCUUGAGAGAACUCAGGAGAAGGAACUCGGCAAAUUGACACCGUAACUUCGGAAGAAGGUGUGCCCUAUUAGUGUGAAGUGAACAACGGAGCAUGAAUGGGUUGCAAAAAAUCGGUGGCUGCGACUGUUUAUUAAAAACACAGCACUCUGCAAACACGAAAGUGACGUAUAGGGUGUGACGCCUGCCCGGUGCUGGAAGAUUAAAUGAUGGGGUGCAAGCUCUUGAUUGAAGUCCCAGUAAACGGCGGCCGUAACGAUAACGGUCCUAAGGUAGCGAAAUUCCUUGUCGGGUAAGUUCCGACCUGCACGAAUGGCGUAACGAUGGCCACACUGUCUCCUCCUGAGACUCAGCGAAGUUGAAAUGUUUGUGAUGAUGCAAUCUCCCCGCGGAAAGACGGAAAGACCCCAUGAACCUUUACUGUAGCUUUGUAUUGGACUUUGAACAGAUCUGUGUAGGAUAGGUGGGAGGCUUUGAAGCAGGGUCGCUAGAUCUUGUGGAGCCAUCGUUGAAAUACCACCCUGGUGUGUUUGAGGUUCUAACCUAGGUCCAUUAUCUGGAUCGGGGACAGUGCAUGGUAGGCAGUUUGACUGGGGCGGUCUCCUCCCAAAGCGUAACGGAGGAGUUCGAAGGUACGCUAGUUACGGUCGGACAUCGUGACGAUAGUGCAAUGGCAUAAGCGUGCUUAACUGCGAGACUGACAAGUCGAGCAGAUGCGAAAGCAGGACAUAGUGAUCCGGUGGUUCUGUAUGGAAGGGCCAUCGCUCAACGGAUAAAAGGUACUCUGGGGAUAACAGGCUGAUACCGCCCAAGAGUUCAUAUCGACGGCGGUGUUUGGCACCUCGAUGUCGGCUCAUCUCAUCCUGGGGCUGUAGCCGGUCCCAAGGGUAUGGCUGUUCGCCAUUUAAAGAGGUACGUGAGCUGGGUUUAAAACGUCGUGAGACAGUUUGGUCCCUAUCUUCCGUGGGCGCUGCAGAUUUGAGGAAGCCUGCUCCUAGUACGAGAGGACCGGAGUGGACACACCUCUGGUGUAUCGGUUGUCACGCCAGUGGCAUUGCCGAGUAGCUAAGUGUGGAAAAGAUAACCGCUGAAAGCAUCUAAGCGGGAAACUCGUUUCAAGAUGAGAUCUGCCGGGGCCUUGAGCCCCCUGAAGAGUCGUUCAAGACCAGGACGUUGAUAGGUCAGGUGUGGAAGUG
rnacentral:rRNA from 1 species